UGGGGAAUAUUGCACAAUGGGCGCAAGCCUGAUGCAGCCAUGCCGCGUGUGUGAAGAAGGCCUUCGGGUUGUAAAGCACUUUCAGCGGGGAGGAAGGCGUUAAGGUUAAUAACCUUGGCGAUUGACGUUACCCGCAGAAGAAGCACCGGCUAACUCCGUGCCAGCAGCCGCGGUAAUACGGAGGGUGCAAGCGUUAAUCGGAAUUACUGGGCGUAAAGCGCACGCAGGCGGUCUGUCAAGUCGGAUGUGAAAUCCCCGGGCUCAACCCGGGAACUGCAUUCGAAACUGGCAGGCUAGAGUCUUGUAGAGGGGGGUAGAAUUCCAGGUGUAGCGGUGAAAUGCGUAGAGAUCUGGAGGAAUACCGGUGGCGAAGGCGGCCCCCUGGACAAAGACUGACGCUCAGGUGCGAAAGCGUGGGGAGCAAACAGG
rnacentral:rRNA from 1 species